GGGGAUGUAGCUUAGUGAUAGAGCUCAUGCCUUAGCAAGCAUGAGGCCCUGGCUUUGAUCCAUGGCAUUGCCA
rnacentral:tRNA from 1 species